UAAAAGUGGAAGGGAAAGCAGGACGAUAUUUUGGCAACAUUAAACAGCUACAUCGCAUUCCACAACCCAGUCAUCAAAUAGGUUGCGGACUAUAUGGUCUCAAGCUUUCGUGCCAUUAGCCAAUCUCGAUAUCUUCCUCGAAGCAUACCACGUAGCAAGGUUUGCAUAUAUACAAUGUGUCAUCGGUUGCGUCAUCCAGUACAGUAACAUUGUCACAUGGCAGACGUAUCAUGGCUAAGUGAGGAGUCGUAAUACCAUAAAAUAAAAAAGAACAAUUAUUCGGAGAGUAUUGAUUUUUAAGAAAUUAGAAGCCCAGAACGUUCCCAUUCUGUCGGUUUCCUUCCCAUCGCACACAUUUACAUAUGUAAGUGAUGUGAGUGAAUCGAGUCCAACGUUUCAUUGUUAGUGUUAUUAUCAAAGGCCAGAAAUUCGAAAGAACCAAUGUUCCAAGAGAAAUUCAGUGUUUGUCGCCGGUUUCAUUAUUCAAAAUACAAAAAAAUUCCCAAAAUCUUCCCUUUUCCUGCAGUGCUAAAUGCCAACGUGGGAUCUCGGCUCGGUUCUUUCAGACAAAACAGCAGUGGAGCAGACUUUUCCGAGUACUAUUGCUUCUAUUACCAUCAACCUUUGUGUGAAAAACUAGCUAUCUAGCUUUACGAAAAUUGCAUACUAAAUAUUCGAUAUUUUCUUUAACAUAAAAUAACUACCUAUACAGAAGUUGGUCCAUAGGUUUACGACUUUUGUGUGUUGAAGUAAGCCAAGCAAAUAAUAAGCGGUCAAGACCUUUCUUAUAAAGGAUAAAGGCUUAAACGGGUUGAUGAACCAGUUGAAUAGAUCGACGCAAAACAAUAUUUGCAGGGCUCUGCAGAGAAUUUUACAAGACUUGUUUGUCCGCACACGUAAUAAUAACGAAAUUCAUAUAGUAUAAAUCUCGUGGGGUGGCAAAGUUGUUGGGGUCCUAUACAACAACACACGUGGAUCAUAAUCAACAUAGUAAAAUUGUAAAACAACCCUGGUUCGUGAUCUUGCGUACGUAUCUCUGGUUGCCUCUCUACAUGCGAAACAUCAUCUACUACCCCUCGAUUUGAUGAUACUGGAACUCAUCAUUUAUUGCAAUUAAAAGAACCUGCUGCCGCAUUGCUAUCGUAGAACGAGACAUCCAAUCCUGUUUACCUGAUAACCUUGCUCUUGCAUCAUAGAAUUUCUUCUUUUCUGAGUGGAAGGUCAGCCCAAUUACUUAUAUUUCAACUUGUCACUUACCGUGUUGAUUGUGGCAUCGUUUGCCAUCAGCGUAUCAGCCCCAACGGUGCUGGAAGGCUCCAACUUUUUUUUCCUAAAAUUGACUAACACAACACAAAAAGAAAGUGAUUUUUUUUCACAAAUCUCAAGUGGCCUCAUAUCAAAAAUCUCCCCAUUGAUGUGGAUACAUUUUGUGCAAUUCCUAUAAAACAACUCUAUUGAAAACUCGAUGCAUAUUGGCAGGAAAACGGACAUAAUAAGUGAAUCAUAUCAUUAACUUUCGAAUGGGGUCGAGAAUUCUUGGAGGGACGUGAAGCCUAUCUUCUUGAGCUCAACGAGAUCAUUCAUUGUUCGAGAUCGUCUCAUUUUCUGUCAAAAGUGGUAAACAAGACGGCGUGUAACGUACAAGUUCGGGUGGUCUUUGUUGGAGUGGCGAAUCACUGCGUGACUUUGACUUGAAUUUCCUUCACCUACACUCCAAAGGGGGAGAAUUUGCACGCUGUCUGUGGAGGAGGUUUCUCUCUCAGAACUUUACUACGAAACUCUGCUCCGUGCAAUGCAGUGCACCAGAAUCUAAUCCAGUCGCAAUUCAGACAUCACUCUCGAAGCAUACUGACUGAACCCUUGACUCGGUGUUCUCCUUGCACUUCACUUUGUUCUUCGCAACCCCUUCCGACCACGUUGUGACAAAAUUACACCAUCCGUCGCACGUUAUUGCUACACAUCUUCUCAAACCAAAGUGGGACGACAGAUUUUGGUUUCUGUUAGAUUCUAGAAAUCUCAUUGUAUCAACUCAAUUAUUUUAAGUUUUUCAUAGAUUAUACGGAUCUUAGAAUAAUUCAGAAUUAAGGAUAAUCAUGCGAUUCAAUGUCGUUGGAUCAUGAGAUUGUUGCAUGAAAACUGUUAACAUAUUGUUCAAUAGAGUCUCGAAAGUGAUUCCACUGUAGUAUUCAAACCAAUUUAGCUAUUACUAUUUAAAGUACGGAUGUUUACUAACAGAUAUUUAGUUACUCCUCAUCAUAUAUUACGAUUGCACACUAUAAAUAAUUUAAUGUUACGUAUGCAUAACUUAAGUUUACCAUUAUAACUCUUGAGGAACGACGAAAAUUACCAGCCACGCAAAAUUCGUAUCUUUCGCAUUGCACACACUUGCACUGUUACAGAUCAGGUCGAUAAAUAUACUGGAAAGUUCCGUAACGCAAUUCAAAAGUUUUAUGACAGGCAGCGAAUUUGCAAUAUUAUAAUCUAUACAAAUUCUUCCUAUACCGCAGCAACUUUUGCUCAAUCGCAACCGUGUGCUUCAAAAAUACUUGUAUUGAAAGCAACCGAAUAUUUGUUUGUGAAUCCUGUAAGAUAUGUACACAUAGUUUUCGUGGUAAUCCCAUCCCACGUGAGAGUAAAGAUUCUAAUCAGUCAUCAACAACAUAAUUUGUCGGGAUCUCAAUAAUAAUGCGUCUAUAGAAAGCCAAUUACUUAAGAUUAGUCUCAAAAUAUAUUGUACUACUUGACAAAACAAAACUUAUCUGUGGAAAAUCAGUCAACUAAUAAAACUGGUCGAAGCUGGAACUCCGCAACAUGGACAAGAAAUCGGUGAAUGUGAAGGGUCCGUACUCCCACAAUGCGCUCACAGUCUCCAACAACACCGAGCUGGACGAAGACGGUCUGAGAAACAAUGGAGUGCACAUGAUGAGAGAAAUCCCGUCCGAAGCGUGUUUCGCAGUAAAUGGGGGUGCAACCGGUCCUGGAGGGGCGAAUGACACUGGUGAAAAUGCAGGAUGGGAAAGCAAGACUCAAUUCAUGCUCAGUGUUGUAGGGUACUCUGUGGGUUUGGGAAACAUUUGGCGUUUUCCGUACCUGUGCCAGAAGAACGGAGGGGGAGCAUUUCUAAUACCGUUCCUGAUUAUGGUCUUGCUGGAGGGAGCCCCCUUGCUACUAAUCGAACUGGGAAUCGGCCAAAAGCUACGACAAGGGUCACUGGGAACUUGGAAUAUGAUUCAUGCAUCGAUCGGGGGAAUCGGCAUUGCAAGUACUAUCGUUGCUUUCCUUGUCGGACUCUACUACAACGUCAUUAUCACCUGGUGUUUUUUCUUCCUCUUCCAAUCGUUUCGGUCACCCCUGCCGUGGGCUAGUUGUCCCACAGUUGAAAUCGGAAACGUCACAGUGCCAGUCCCAGAAUGUGUAAAGUCUUCGGAAACUGCAUAUUACUGGUAUCGUGAAGCAUUGGACAUUUCUCCAUCGAUAGAUGAAACUGGUGGAAUUAAAUGGUGGAUGGCCCUUUGCCUCUUGUUGGCUUGGGUAUUUGUGUAUUUCAUUAUAAUGCGUGGCGUCAAAUCUGCUGGAUGGGUGAUCUACUUCACAGCGUGUUUUCCAUACGUCGUAUUGACAAUUUUCUUUGUUCGGGGAAUUACUCUCCGAGGUGCGGCUGCAGGAUUGAUUCACAUGUACAAGCCAAAGAUGGAAAAACUUUUGGACUUGGCAACUUGGAUGGAUGCGGCUACGCAAGUCUUCUACUCGUUUGGGCUAGCGUUCGGGUCACUAAUUGCAUUUGGUUCCUAUAAUAAGCCACGAAAUAACUGUGUGAAGGACGUGAUCUUCAUAACUUGCACUAAUGCAUUGACAGCCAUGUACGCGUCAAUAGUGAUAUUCUCCAUUCUUGGCUUCAAGGCUACCGCUAUUCAUGAUCGUUGCAUUGAUGGGAAUAAAAAAGUAUUACGAGAACUCUUGUCCGACAAAUACUCGGACAUCAGCAACAUCACGGACAAUAUAUACGAGUCGUACAUGAAGGAGCAUUUUCCGGAUGAAAAAUCUCUGAACGGUUCUGCGUUCUUGGAUUGCAGUCUUGAGAAAGAAUUAGAUUCUGCUGCUGCUGGAACUGGUCUCGCAUUUGUCGUCUUCACUCAAGCAAUAGUAGAAUUACCGGCGUCUCCUUUUUGGGCCAUUAUCUUCUUUCUUAUGCUGCUCGCUCUCGGUCUUGGCUCACAGAUUGGAACUAUGGAAGGAGUUGUGAACACUGUUUUCGAAUGUUCAUACUUCAAAAACGUUAGAAAAGAGUUGCUGACCGCCAUCGUCUGCUUCAUUUCAUUUGUGUGUGGAUUGAUUUUUGUGACUGGAGCCGGAGAGUAUUGGGUUUCUCUAUUCGAUGGAUAUGCCAGUACAACUGGAUUGGUGAUAAUCGCACUCCUGGAAAUUGUUUCCGUGAUGUAUAUUUAUGGCCAUGAAAGGUUCUCUGCGGAUGUCGAAUACAUGACAGGGUACUAUCCAGGAUGGUACUGGCAGAUCACUUGGAGAAUAGUUGGGCCUGGUUUCCUCUGUCUUCUUCUUGUUGGAUCUCUGAUUGAAAAAGUUAGAAAUAGCCCCGUCUACGAUGCCUGGGAUAGCGAAAAGGGGGAAACACACUUGCUGCCAUAUCCUGGGUGGUGCAUGUGUAUUGCAUUGGCCCUCAUUAUUGUGGGGAUUGUUCCAAUAAUUGCAGGGUGGUUAAUGGACAGAUUUAACAUACUUGGCCCAAGUGGACGACCACGAAGUGCUUCCACAACAAUGAGAAGAAUCGAUACUGCAGCUUCAACAAGGCCUAUGAUGGAGGAUUAUGAGACGGCCAAUAAAUGUCGGAUCAUGUAAUCCUCACUAAAGUGUGUAUUCUCUACUAACGCCAUUCUCAAUCCCGAUUCGGGUCACAGAGUAUAGAACUGAUAUUUUACCGGAUGACGCUGAUGACAUGAUGGAAGGUCCUCUUCGGAUGGCCCCUAUGAAAUCAUUUAGGAUGGAAGUUAUAGACUGCUAAUAGUGUUUCACAGUUCAAACGUAGAAACAAAAUGUAAUAUUUAAAUAAUUAUACUGACAAUUUAAUAUCAUUCGUUCAUGAGUCACCCCUUAGCUUACAAUAUCUUAUGACAUAUAUUACAGUAAAGUCCAUUCUCUUUGCAUACCAUUUGUCGAGUCUUAUUUUCAAAUGUCAACUUGACUGUGCAAAAAUUAACGAACAACAUUAGUCAAGGUAAAAUGCAGUAGUUUAAUGUAUGUUCUACUUAUGUGUAACAGUUCUAACGGCUUAAUUUAAAUACUAAAACUUGGUGUUGGAGUUAUUUUGUAGUAAAGCUGUCUCGCUAAAUAUAUGAAUUUUACACAGUUAAAAGAAAAACUAGUUAAAAACAACUCUUGAAAAUUAACCUACAAAUAAAUAUUCAUCAACGCCACACUGCAAGAUCAAAUGCAGUGUCAUUCCAAUGAACUUUGUAUGUGCAAUAACUCAAAAAUUACGUUUUUAUCCAGCUCCCCUUUGUGAGCCGUACCACCACCGCAAAUUUUCUCAAUCGCCCAAGAAAUGAAGAUGUGAAAUUUGGUCAAACUGAAGAAGGAAGCAAAACGCUCAUUGUACCUCAAAUUAGGCAAAA